rnacentral:miRNA from 1 species
UGUGUUUGUGUGUGUGCAGGUGCGUGUGCAUGUGCAUGUGCGUGUGUGUCUGUGUCAGUGUCGGUGUCUGUGUGUGUGUAUCUGUGUGUGUGUGUGCCCUAUAAUGUUACUGUG